rnacentral:rRNA from 1 species
UGCGUAGGCGGAUUAAUAAGUCAGUGGUGAAAUCUCAUAGCUUAACUAUGAAACUGCCAUUGAUACUGCAGGUCUUGAGUAAGGUAGAAGUAGCUGGAAUAAGUAGUGUAGCGGUGAAAUGCAUAGAUAUUACUUAGAACACCAAUUGCGAAGGCAGGUUACUAGGUCUUAACUGACGCUGAUGGACGAAAGCGUGGGGAGCGAACAGGAUUAGAUACCCUGGUAGUCC